AUGACAAUGAGGCCGCUCGUCCUUCUUGCCCUGGCCGUCGUGCUCGCCGCCGGUAUCGGCGGCGCUGAGGGAGCUGGCGAGUGCAGCGUGAGGGCCUCGGCCAUGGCCCAGCAACUGGCUCCGUGCCUCCCGGCGGUGCGCAACCCGCAGUCCGCGCCGACGAGCAGCUGCUGCGUGGGUGUGCGCAACAUCAACAUGAGGAGCCCCGGUUGCGUGUGCUCCGUCAUGUCCGACGUCUUCAAACUGGCCGGACUGAAGCCUCAAGUCGCAAUCGCAAUCCCCAAGCGCUGUGGCAUUGCCGACUGCGGAGGUA
rnacentral:rRNA from 1 species